rnacentral:rRNA from 1 species
GAUGAACGCUGGCGGCGUGCCUAAUACAUGCAAGUCGAGCGAACAGACGAGGAGCUUGCUCCUUCGACGUUAGCGGCGGACGGGUGAGUAACACGUAGGUAACCUACCUAUAAGACUGGGAUAACUUCGGGAAACCGGAGCUAAUACCGGAUAAUAUUUCGAACCGCGUGGUUCGAUAGUGAAAGAUGGCUUUGCUAUCACUUAUAGAUGGACCUGCGCCGUAUUAGCUAGUUGGUAAGGUAACGGCUUACCAAGGCAACGAUACGUAGCCGACCUGAGAGGGUGAUCGGCCACACUGGAACUGAGACACGGUCCAGACUCCUACGGGAGGGAGCAGUAGGGAAUCUUACGCAAUGGGCGAAAGCCUGACGGAGCAACGCCGCGUGAGUGAUGAAGGUCUUCGGAUCGUAAAACUCUGUUAUUAGGGAAGAACAAACGUGUAAGUAACUGUGCACGUCUUGACGGUACCUAAUCAGAAAGCCACGGCUAACUACGUG